UAGGGAAUCUUCGGCCAUGGACGAAAGUCUGACCGAGCAACGCCGCGUGAGUGAAGAAGGUUUUCGGAUCGUAAAACUCUGUUGUUAGAGAAGAACAAGGACGUUAGUAACUGAACGUCCCCUGACGGUAUCUAACCAGAAAGCCACGGCUAACUACGUGCCAGCAGCCGCGGUAAUACGUAGGUGGCAAGCGUUGUCCGGAUUUAUUGGGCGUAAAGCGAGCGCCGGCGGUUUCUUAAGUCUGAUGUGAAAGCCCCCGGCUCAACCGGGGAGGGUCAGUGGAAACUGGGAGACAUGAGUGCAGAAGAGGGGGGUGGAAUUCCAGUUGUAGCGGUGAAAUGCGUAGAUAGAUGGAGGAACACCAGUGGCGAAGGCGGCUCUCUGGUCUGUUACUGACGCUGAGGCUCGAAAACGUGGGGGGCAAACAGG
rnacentral:rRNA from 1 species